rnacentral:rRNA from 1 species
UACAGAGGCCUCGAGCGUUAGGCGGAAUCACUGGGCUUAAAGCGUGUGUAGACGGAUCGUUAAGUACCUUGUGAAAUCCCACGGCUCAACCGUGGAACUGCUUGGUAUACUGGCGAUCUUGUGCCACCUAGGGGCGAGCGGAACAGAUGGUGGAGCGGUGAAAUGCGUAGAUAUCGUAAGGAAGACCAGUGGCGAAGGCGGGUCUCUGGACAGUUCCUGACGCUGAGGCACGAAGGUCAGGGGAGCAAACGGG